rnacentral:rRNA from 1 species
GACGAACGCUGGCGGCGUGCUUAACACAUGCAAGUCGAACGAAGUGGCGCACGGGUGAGUAACGCGUAAUCAACCUGCCCUUCAGAGGGGGACAACAGUUGGAAACGACUGCUAAUACCGCAUACUGAAGGAGGGGAUUGCGUCUGAUUAGCUAGUGGGAGGGGUAACGGCCCACCAAGGCGAUGAUCAGUAGCCGGGCUGGGAGGAUGAGCGGACAAAUUGUGACUGGUACACAGGCCAGACUCCUACGGGAUGCAGCAAUGGGGAAUCGUCAGCAAUGGACGAAAGACUGACGGGGCAACGCCGCGUGAGUGAUGACGGCCGUCGGGUUGUAAAGCUCUGUUAAACGGGACGCGGUACCGGAAUAGAAAGCCACGGCUAACUACGUGCCAGCCGCCGCGGUAAUAC